ensembl:lincRNA
UGCAGGCUGAUUCUUCACCCUCUGAGCCAUGGACUUUGGGGAUCACUUUUCAUGAGGUGAGGCAGCAUCCAUGCUGGUUUUCCCCCCAAACAUCCUCAUUCCUGGGCUGAGAAACCAUAGGUGAGUUCAAUCUCAGUGUUGUGUUUGGUCCCCCAAGGGAGUCCACCAGAGCACUCUGGGGAAAGAAGCCUGGACAGCUGGCCGCCGUGGCCUUUGCUCGUGUUCUGGCCUUGCCUCUCACAGAACUUCCCCUUGCCUGUUUCUUUCUCGGCCUCCACUUCCUGAAAGCCCUUCCUGGAGAACACACGGGCCCUUCCAAGGAAGGGUCACUGACACUGAGCUGGGAGGACGUGGAGCAACCGGGGAAGAACUCACAUCCCGAGAACACCUUACCCCAGGACCAACUUCCGGCUCAGCCGGAACCGGGAUGCCAGUGAUCCAGCGCCGAGGCGUGCAGCCUGCUUACUCCAGGGGAGGCUUCCCCUUCAGAGGCCCCAGGAAGGCGCUCAGAGAUCCCCCCACAGAGGCCCACACUCGGCAGGGACCCCCCGAGGCCUCUCCCCUCCUGCCACUCAGGGGACCUUUCCCUGGUUCUCUGUGUCUGCCGCCAACCAAGGCCGCAGCAGACCCCCGAAAAUUCCACCUCUGGAAUCUUCUCUUGGCCAAGAGCCAGAAAGUCUCACUUUAACUUCGGUUACUAAAAAUACAUUCUGUUUCCUCCCAGUCCUGUGCUUAAUUCAAGUAACUAAAAUGCUGCGCGUACACAGGUGCUAUUUUUAUUCCCACCUCCCUGGUGCCUGCCCUCCUCCCCUCCCAGUGUAGCUUUCCAACUCUGGGACUUACCCCCUCAGCCCAGCUGUUGCAAUGGAAAGAAUGAGAACUCUUUCUCCCCGUCAGAGGAGCCCUUGUUUCCAUAGCUGGGCUUCACUCCUCUUCCUGUCCCACCGGGCACUCCCAGGAUGAGGAUCGUGUGUAAAAAGGUGGGGGGAGGGGUGGACUUUGAUUUCUGUCCCAAAACACCAAGAGCUGUUGGAG